AGAAGUAAUGAAUAUAUAGGAGAAAAGUUCCUGGCUCAAAUUGAGUUCUGGAAAGCAUGAUUUUACUCUGCCUUUUGGCUGAUAACAUCCAACUUUUGUUUUUGCUUGCCUGUUAUUUUGAUCUUACCCAAUAAAUUCCCAGAUUAGAAUUGUACUGAGCAAUUUACUGAGAAAACUUUCAAAACCACUUACUCUGACCUUGCCAGUUUACAUGCAUAAAAACUGUAGCAAUUAAUGUAAAAUUUAAAUUUUUAUAUCCUCCCUUAUUGUUCUCCCCCGCCCCCAGUACUCUUAGUGGUGCUAGUUAUUUUUCACUUGUCUCAGAAGUUUGUCUCCAAUUCUUGCAGACCAGUGUGAAAUAACUGUAUGAGCUGACGCUGUACAGCUGAUGUAACAAUCAGAAUGACCAUUUCAGUCUGAGUUUAAGGGAAGACGUACAUGCCCAUGUACACCUACAGAAUAUAUCCUUUCCACUAUACGCCUAACAUACAUGGAAUAUUACCUGUGAUUGUACCCUGGAAAACAAGUGAGAAGCUUUGUAUUCAUUCUGAGGUGAUUUCUAUGUACCGAGAAAGCUUACAGAGAGCACAUAAAAAAAAGGAGAUAGCACCUGAAUAAAGAACCAGGCACCAGGACUACUCUCAAGGGAAAAGCUUUUUACCAAGCCCAGGCACAGCAUUUCCAAGUAUCAAGAGUUAACAUGCAAACUGAGUAACACUAAAGACACCAAGCUCCUGCUUUUCCUCAAGAACCUUGGCUCAGCAUGUGCCUACAACAGAAGACUCCCACACACUACACAGUUAAUCACCAGUCCAGUUCAUUAUGUCCACAUCCAAACCCAACUGCGACACUGUGAUAGAGAGGCUAACAGAUACGUGGUCUGAUUGUUAGACUGCAAUUGACAAAUCUGAUAAAGCACCGAACCU
rnacentral:lncRNA from 7 species